GCUCAGCCUUUCAUUAACUAUUUUAGUUCAAGAGGACCGAAAUUCAGAUCCCGAUCGGCAAGAGGGUUGAGAGUAGUUCACUAUCCAAACUCCCUUCAAGUGUUAGUGAAGGUUGUCCUAAGAUGUUUAGUUAUUCACUUUUCGUUUCAUUUCUUUAAUUUUCGUUUAUCUUUUAGAAGGGGCAUUCUCGUAGUCCUAUUGGACAUUC
rnacentral:lncRNA from 1 species